UUGCUAGUUUCCAAGUUUAUUUCUCUUAAGCUUAUCCAUUUAGUCAUGUUAGCACUCUAGGCUUAUACCUACAAUAUGUCUCCUUUUGGUUAUUUAUUUUUAUUGUGCUAUAACUAUGUCAUCCAGUGAGAUGAUAAAAUACUCUGCAAAUAAAAGCAGUUGUUUCACACACUGCAUGGCCAAUGUAGUACAUAUGCAGUUGGGAAAUUACCUGGUUAAAGUCAGUGAACUAGUGCAUACCCCUUAUAUUUAAGGAAUAUUAUUGCCACCAGUGGCUCUUUUCUUUCUUAAAAUAACAUAAAUCAUAUGACAUCUGUGUGGUAGAAAGCCAACAGAUAAUAAAUCUGGGCUAAGGAUGAUAGGUGGUUUCAGAGGUUUCCCUUGGGGUCAGGAAGGCAGAUCUGGGGAGUCAGGGUGCUGCUGCAGAACCCUCAGAUUCACCUCUCCCACAAACCCUAUACAUCCAGCUUCCGCCACCAUGCUCUUCAUUGUAUUUCUUAGGCUCUGUAGGUUACUACCUAUAAGUAGCUAUUUUAGGACCAAUAUUUUUUUCCUUAAAAUAAUCUUCACAUUUUUUUUUUUGUAUUUGGACAUAUAACCAAAUAAUAAAGGAUAUUAUUAGAUAAGGAUCCUUUAGCUUUUGAUAAAUUGGGUAAGGAUUUAUGUGUAGCUUCCAGAUCAAAAUGCUGUCUUGUAGCAUUAAGGCUCCAGGAGAUAAGAGAAAGAUCUUUUGUGAGUAGGAUAGGUUGACAUGUUCGACUGCAGGGCAAGCUCUCUAGACAGAAAUGCUGCGGUGACUUUUCUUGUAAGAAACUUUUGACGGAAAAACACUGAAAUUCGCCUAUUUACCACUUUUCAUCAAUCCUUUCCCAUACUUUAAAUACUCUCUGGGGUGGUAAUGUGCCCAGCUGAGAGAUUUGCCUUUGUAGCCUCAGUGCAAUGCAGUCCUGUGGGUGGUUGCUCGGGUAUGUUUUUAUUUGCCUAAGUGAAGGGUCCCCAGCCGCCCCCAUUCCCCACUGAUUUUCUUCUCCUUAUCAGGAAAAUGGACCUGGUGCUUGGGCUUUCUUGCCACCAUUUGUGACAUUUAGAAAGUGGAUAAAAUCUGUGUGUGUGGGUGACUGAGGAGAAAGAAUGAAGGAGCCUGGGGCAGUGAUGUCGUCGUGGAAGCCGCCUUGGCCUGCCUAUCUUUGCAAUUCUCUUUAUGUGAAGAAAAUAACAAUUUCUUUUCUAUUAAAACUGUUGCAGAAGGAUUUUCGAGUAUGAGCAACUGAGUAUAAUCCUAACUUGGCUGCUUAAAAAACAUUUUGUUUGCUCCUCACCCCAGAGCCUUUGUUAUGAAAAUCUUUUAGUACCCUCAGAUACAGAUUUUGUCAGUGAAUUGCAACUCCUGUAGAACCUGACCAGCUGGGAUGGAGAGGUUAUGAGAAAAAAAAAAGCAUAAUUUCAGUGUAACUUGAAUAUAAUGCAUCAUCAUGAAUCAUGUGAUUCCAGACUGUUGUCUUCCCUAACAGUAAGUUGAAAACAACUUUGAGUCCAGGUAAGUUCUUGCAGUUUGGUUUCUGUAAGUUGCUAGCAGCUUUCUUACCUCUUGCAGCUAUUUCUGAAAAGAUGAAGCCCUUAAGACGGAUGGGACAUGCACGUAUGCAAAAAGUUGCUGUUUUAGUCUGCUCGUGCUCCUUUAAAAAUUCUUUAGGAAUGGAGACCGCGUGCUUACUGGUCCCGUGCUGCAGCCGUUCAGGAAUUGCUUCAUCCACUGUGCAUAACACAGGAGUCAGUCCUCUGGUGGGGUCUGAGUACUCAGAUUUUCCUUUGAGUACUUGCAGAUGGCUGUGUGUGCCUCUUUUUUUUUUUUUUUUUUUUUUUUUUUUUUUCCUGGGAACCUCCAUAUGCUGUGGGCACAGCCCUAAAAAGCAAAAAAAAAAAAAAGGAUUUACUCCAAUAUUGUCUUUCAAGAGUUUUAUUGUUUUAGCUGUAACAUUUUUAGUUAAUUUUUGCAAGAAUGAAAUUGGACCUCUUCAGUUUGGUACACAGCAAGACCGGAUCCUUAACCCACUGAGCGAGGCCAGGGAUCAAACCUGCGUUUUCACAGAUACUAGUGGGUUCAUUACCACUGAGCCACAAUGGGAACUUCCGGAGCUUGGUUUUUAAAAAUGAAGUUUAACGUUGUAGUUAUUUGUCCAUCUCCUCUAAGCUUACAGAUUUGUUCCUCAAGUGGUGAAGACAUAAAUUUCAUAUAGCCAACUGUCUGGGACACUUUAAAAAAUUAGAGUCUUUUGCAGGUUGUGUUGAAUAUUAAGUAAAUGUAUUCUUGCUUUGUAUUAAAAACAGAAAGGACUCUGCUAUUGCCAGGAUGAGAAUUCUUGUGGAAGUCUUCUUGAAUUGAUGAAUAUGUAAGAGGACAUUUUUAUGAAGAUCAGUACAAGCUGUUUUCCAAGGAGAGUCUGGGGAAAUAUUUUUGCAACUUGAACAGCAUGAAUGCAGCAAGUUGAAUUAUUUGGGGGCUGCUUUGGCCAGCACACUGAUGCCCAGAAAAUGCCUGGGCUGAUAGCUCGCCAGAAGCACGUUUGACCUAAUAAAGGAGGAACCAAACCAACUGACCCCUCACUGCCAAUUUCAGUUUCUAUUCGACUUAAUCCUAAAAACUAGAGCAUAAAUAGGUAACAGCCUACAAACUCAGUUCCAGAAAGAACAGAAACAUCUACCAUUAUCCCUCUCGGUGUAAUGUAGUUCCUUUCUAAAUCUUCAUUGAUGAUGAUAAAUAAAACGGCAUUAAGGAGUUCCUGUUAUGGCUCAGCAGGUUGAGAAUCCGACUAGUAUUCAUGAGGAUGUGGGCUCAGUCCCUGGCCUUGCUCAGUGGGUGAAGGAUACAGCAUUGCCGCAAGCUGCAGCAUAGAUUGCAGAUGUGGCUUGGAUCUGGUGUUGCUGUGGCUGUGGUGUAGGCCAGCAGCUGUAGCUCUGAUUUGACCCCUGGCCUGGGAGCUUCCAUAUGCCUCAGGCAUGGCCUUGAAAAGAAAAGGAGGAAAAAAGGCAUUAAAAUUUGAGUCUUUCUGAUUUCAGAAGAUUUAUGCCUGGCAGGUAUGACACUUUCAAACUCACACCAAAUGCGUGAGCUGUGAUUUUUAUUAAGAAUUGUCUGCGACUGUCUUCUUGUAGAGGUUUCUUUUUUGAAGAAGAAGACCACUUUAUGUAUGAUUCUUUGUCUUAUGUGAUUUCCCUCAAGGGAAGAUAUGGUCAGUGGAUUUAAUUGAAUUAAUGCUCUUCUGUGAUGUUUUUGUGUUCCUGGUUAUCUCAGUGGACAUUGUGAGGGCACGUCUUGACAGUAAUGUAUUCACUGUCAAUAAAAUCUUUGUUGAGUAUUUUAAAGUUAAGAGAAUUUAUUUUUAUCCUACUAGUAAUGACUACCUUUUAUUUAAAGAAGUGAAAAUAGGAGUUCCCUUCGUGGCUCAGUGGUUAACGAACCCAGCUAGGAUCCAUGAGGAUGUGGGUUCGAUCCCUGGCCUUGCUCGGUGUGUUAAGGAUGCUGCGUUGCCAUGAGCUGUGGUGCAGGUCGCAGAUGCAGCUCGGAUCCCAAGUUGCUGUGGCUGUGGUGUAG
ensembl:lncRNA